AUUGAACGCUGGCGGCAUGCUUUACACAUGCAAGUCGAACGGCCGCUCUGUGCAACCUGUCGGCGCGUCGCGCACUGGUGCUUACUACAUCGGAACUUACCCAUAAGUGACGUAUCACGUAGCGGAAGUUACGCUUAUACCGCAUUCGCUCUUCGGACGAAAUUUUGGGUCUUUCGUGCCUCAUACUUUUGAAGCGCCCUAUGUCUGCUUAGCUAGUUGCUGAGGUAAAGGCUAACCAAGGCGACGAUCAGUAGCUAGUCUGAGAGGACGACCAGCCACACUGGGACUGAGACACGGCCCAGACUCCUACGGGAGGCAGCAGUGGGGAAUUUUGGAAAAUGGGCGCAAGCCUGAUCAAGCAAGGCCGCGUGAGGGAAGAAGGCCUUCGGGUUGUAAAGCUCUUUUGUAAGGGAAGAAACGUGUGAGGAUAAAAACUUCGGCUAAUGACGGUACCUGAAGAAUAAGCACCGGCUAACUACGUG
rnacentral:rRNA from 1 species